rfam:Clostridium baratii str. Sullivan, complete genome.
ACAAUCUUUAAAUUGGUCCAGAGAGGCUAGUAAGAAGUUUUAGAAAAAUAUUAUUUAUAGGGAAUUUCUCUAUAAAUCUUUCUUAGUGUGCAACAACUUCUUACUUUUGUAAGAAGUUUUUUUUAU